CCCUUAGAUGUUCUGGGCCGCACGCGCGCUACACUGAUACGUUCAGCAAGUCUACCACCUCGGCCGAGAGGCCCGGGUAAUCUUCUGAAAGCGUAUCGUGAUGGGGAUAGAUUAUUGCAAUUAUUAAUCUUCAACGAGGAAUUCCUAGUAAGCGCGAGUCAUCAGCUCGCGUUGAUUACGUCCCUGCCCUUUGUACACACCGCCCGUCGCUACUACCGAUUGGAUGGUUUAGUGAGACCCUCGGAUCGGUCCCGACUCGGGGUGGGCUUCUGCCCCGGUCGUGGUUUCGCCGAGAAGACGGUCAAACUUGACUAUCUAGAGGAAGUAAAAGUCGUAACA
rnacentral:rRNA from 1 species